GAUGAAGAACGUAGCGAAAUGCGAUAAGUAGUGUGAAUUGCAGAAUUCCGUGAAUCAUCGAAUCUUUGAACGCACAUUGCGCCUUCUGGUAUUCCGGAAGGCAUGCCUGUUCGAGAGUCAUUAACAACCGUUUCGAUCCCUUUCUUUCAGAAAUUACAAAGAGGAAAAGGGUUUGGUUAUGGUGGAGGAGGGAAAGGGAGCGUUUAGCCUGUAAAAAAAGAGGCUGUGUUCCGCCUCCCCCCCAAAAUUGUACAGGCGGUCGUGUGCGCCCACGCAUCGAGGUGUUGUAAAAGCUGCCACGGCACUUUUCACCUGUGCAGUGCGAGAUUGGCCAGCCGGUUUAAAAACCCCUCCAAACCAUCAAAGGUUGACCUCGGAUCAGGUAGGGAUACCCGCUGAACUUAAGCAUAUCAAUAAGCGGAGGA
rnacentral:misc_RNA from 1 species